UACAGAGGGGGCGAGCGUUAAUCGGAUUUACUGGGCGUAAAGCGUGCGUAGACGGUCAAGUAAGUCGGGUGUGAAAGCCCCGGGCUCAACCUGGGAAUUGCAUUCGAGACUGCGUGGCUAGGGUGCGGAAGAGGGAAGCGGAAUUUCCGGUGUAGCGGUGAAAUGCGUAGAUAUCGGAAGGAACACCAGUGGCGAAAGCGGCUUCCUGGUCCAGCACCGACGUUCAGGCACGAAAGCGUGGGGAGCAAACAGG
rnacentral:rRNA from 1 species